rnacentral:lncRNA from 1 species
GGUGUGUGUGUUGGAUACUUUUUUUAUGGCUUUCUUUUUUGGUUGAUGUUGACCGUCCUGUGUUCAGCAAGAACUCUUUAGGACAGUGGAAGUUGGGUAGAGCUGCUAGGCAAUAAUAUUUUGAUUUCACUGAUGGAAUGUCUUAUUGCACUGAAUUUUUCUAUGAUCUUUUGGUUAACAAUGUUGCCUCGAAUAUAGGCAUGUACAGGUUCUGCUAUCAUCACCAUUGGUUGUCAUAAUUUUGCAU